GCGCGCGGCGACCGGAAGGAGCCGGGGAGGGCCGCUGUCAAUCAUCACCAGGGCGCGCGCGCGCCGUCCGGGCCCUCGCGUCAUUGGUUCGUUCAUUCAGUCUUGCUCAAUGGGUUUCCCGUCGCUUUGCUGGAGUCCACGCCGAAGCAGUCUCUUAGAUGGCCACGGGGGGGCAGGAGAGAGUCGGUGUAUCAGCACUACCAUAGCACGUGCACCCCCACCCUUCUGCCCUUAAGAAUUUAGGGGAGACUCUCCUGACAGCACGAGCAGGCGUGGGCUCCGCCAGCCUGCCUGCCUGCGUGACAUCGGCUGAAGACUCAUUUUCCUUGCCGUGAGCCUC